GACGAAGGGGGCUAGCGUUGUUCGGAAUUACUGGGCGUAAAGCGAGUGUAGGUGGUUGUCAUAGUCAGGCGUGAAAGCCUUGAGCUCAACUCAAGAAAUGCGCUUGAUACUGGGCAGCUAGAGGACCGGAGAGGAUAGUGGAAUUCCCAGUGUAGUGGUGAAAUACGUAGAGAUUGGGAAGAACACCAGUGGCGAAGGCGACUACCUGGCCUGUUCUUGACGCUGAGGCGCGAAAGCUAGGGGAGCAAACGGG
rnacentral:rRNA from 1 species